AGACUAUUCAGACUUGUCAUAGACUAUAGACUUCUCCAAGGAGAAGCCAGAACGAGAAAGACAAGACCUCUGCUCUUCUUAACCUAAGAUGAGGAAACUGAGAGCCAAGAAUGUGAUAAAACUAUACAGCUACUUGCAAGUAAAAUAUAAGAAGAUCUCCUGAAUAUAUUAGUGCUUUUUCCAGAAAUCUAUAUUAUACCCCUAAGUUUUAACACUUUCAUCAAUACUAGGAUACUUUCUAAGAUGACAAGUCAUCAUUUGUGUCCUCUCUGGAGAAUACUGCUUUUCAUAAAGUCUAAAAUAGCCUAGAAUCUCCUUUGAAAACAAAAUUAAAUUCAUUAAA